rnacentral:miRNA from 1 species
ACUUUUUUUUUUCUGUUGGCGCAUGCAUUUAGAUUGGAGUAUUCCCAUUACAAAAUUUUUCAGUCGAAGAAAAAAAAAAUGUUUGUAAUGGGAACACUCCAAUCUAAAUGCAUGCGCCAACAGAAAAAAAAAGU